CUACAUAACUUAUAUUCGACGAAUCUCGACGAAAGUACAAAAUCGAUGUGUGGUGUAAAAUUUCUUCUAAUAAAUAUUGUGGUGUUGGGACAUUUAUGCGUGGUAAUGUUGUUUCCCACAAUAACAGAUAAAUAUUCCAAUAUCUUCAAGAGUGUGGAUCUUCUUUUAUUCGAAAUUAUUCUCCAAGGCCUCACUACGAUAGAAUCAUUCUUCUUCUACAGCGGGUUUAUGGUAAUGUAUCUGAGACAAAAAAGUGGACGAAACUCUGCGAAAUAC